AUUGAACGCUGGCGGCAGGCCUAACACAUGCAAGUCGAACGGUAACAGGAAGCAGCUUGCUGCUUCGCUGACGAGUGGCGGACGGGUGAGUAAUGUCUGGGAAGCUGCCUGAUGGAGGGGGAUAACUACUGGAAACGGUAGCUAAUACCGCAUAAUGUCGCAAGACCAAAGAGGGGGACCUUCGGGCCUCUUGCCAUCGGAUUUGCCCAGAUGGGAUUUGCUUGUUGGUGGGGUAACGGCUCACCAAGGCGACGAUCCCUAGCUGGUCUGAGAGGAUGACCAGCCACACUGGAACUGAGACACGGUCCAGACUACUACGGGAGGCAGCAGUGGGGAAUAUUGCACAAUGGGGGCAAGCAUGAUGCAGCCAUGCCGCGUGUAUGAAGAAGGCCGUCGGGUUGUAAAGUACUUUCAGCGGGGAGGAAGGGAGUAAAGUUAAUACCUUUGCUGAUUGACGUUACCCGCAGAAGAAGCACCGGCUAACUCCGUG
rnacentral:rRNA from 1 species